rnacentral:rRNA from 1 species
AACGCGAAGAACCUUACCCACCUUUGACAUGUACGGAAUUUGCCAGAGAUGGCUUAGUGCUCGAAAGAGAGCCGUAACACAGGUGCUGCAUGGCUGUCGUCAGCUCGUGUCGUGAGAUGUUGGGUUAAGUCCCGCAACGAGCGCAACCCUUGUCAUUAGUUGCUACAUUCAGUUGGGCACUCUAAUGAGACUGCCGGUGACAAACCGGAGGAAGGUGGGGAUGACGUCAAGUCCUCAUGGCCCUUAUAGGUGGGGCUACACACGUCAUACAAUGGCCGGUACAAAGGGUCGCAAACCCGCGAGGGGGAGCCAAUCCAUCAAAGCCGGUCGUAGUCCGGAUCGCAGUCUGCAACUCGACUGCGUGAAGUCGGAAUCGCUAGUAAUCGUGGAUCAGCAUGUCACGGUGAAUACGUUCCCGGGCCUUGUACACACCG